rnacentral:rRNA from 1 species
AGUGGCGGACGGGUGAGUAACGCGUAAGAAUCUAACUUCAGGACGGGGACAACAGUUGGAAACGACUGCUAAUACCCGAUAUGCCGCGAGGUGAAACCUAAUUGGCCUGAAGAAGAGCUUGCGUCUGAUUAGCUAGUUGGUGGGGUAAGAGCCUACCAAGGCGACGAUCAGUAGCUGGUCUGAGAGGAUGAGCAGCCACACUGGGACUGAGACACGGCCCAGACUCCUACGGGAGGCAGCAGUGGGGAAUUUUCCGCAAUGGGCGAAAGCCUGACGGAGCAACGCCGCGUGAGGGAGGAAGGUCUUUGGAUUGUAAACCUCUUUUCUCAAGGAAGAAGUUCUGACGGUACUUGAGGAAUCAGCCUCGGCGAACUCCGUGCCAGCAGCCGCGGUAAUACGGGGGAGGCAAGCGUUAUCCGGAAUUAUUGGGCGUAAAGCGUCCGCAGGUGGUCAGCCAAGUCUGCCGUCAAAUCAGGUUGCGUAACGACCUAAAGGCGGUGGAAACUGGCAGACUAGAGAGCAGUAGGGGUAGCAGGAAUUCCCAGUGUAGCGGUGAAAUGCGUAGAGAUUGGGAAGAACAUCGGUGGCGAAAGCGUGCUACUGGGCUGUAUCUGACACUCAGGGACGAAAGCUAGGGGAGCGAAAGGGAUUAGAUACCCCUGUAGUCCUAGCCGUAAACGAUGGAUACUAGGCGUGGCUU